rnacentral:rRNA from 1 species
AGACAGCAGUAGCCACGGUAAUACAGAGGGUGCAAGCGUUAAUCGGAAUUACUGGGCGUAAAGCGCGCGUAGGUGGUUUGUUAAGUUGAAUGUGAAAUCCCCGGGCUCAACCUGGGAACUGCAUCCAAAACUGGCAAGCUAGAGUACGGUAGAGGGUGGUGGAAUUUCCUGUGUAGCGGUGAAAUGCGUAGAUAUAGGAAGGAACACCAGUGGCGAAGGCGACCACCUGGACUGAUACUGACACUGAGGUGCGAAAGCGUGGGGAGCAAACAGGAUUAGAUACCCGUGUAGUCCCUGUCUCUUAUAA